AAAAAAAUUGUGUGUAAGACUGUGCAGAUGGAAGUUGCAGUGAAGUUUGCAGUAGUGAAGUUAGUGAUGAUGAUACUAAUGGCUUUUAUGAUUUCCAUGGGAGUUGCUUCGUCUCCGUAUUGUUGUCCUCGUAUCCCAGACUGUUGCCUUGCUGCCGAAGGUGUGCCGGAAGGGCAAAAUCCCUUGGUCACAGCAAUCAAUAGUUUUAAUGGCUAAUUAGUUGCAGUAAUCUUUGUACUGGUUAAAUAAGGGAAGUGACUAUUCUCAUCAGUUCUUUG
rnacentral:lncRNA from 1 species